UAGAAUUACAUUGGAAAUGCC
rnacentral:piRNA from 1 species